rnacentral:rRNA from 1 species
UACGGAGGGUGCGAGCGUUGUCCGGAAUCACUGGGCGUAAAGGGCGCGUAGGCGGCCUGAUAAGUAGGGGGUGAAAUCCUGCGGCUUAACCGCAGGGCUGCCUUCUAAACUGUCAGGCUCGAGCACAGUAGAGGCAGGUGGAAUUCCCGGUGUAGCGGUGGAAUGCGUAGAGAUCGGGAAGAACAUCAGUGGCGAAGGCGGCCUGCUGGGCUGUUGCUGACGCUGAGGCGCGACAGCGUGGGGAGCAAAC